rnacentral:rRNA from 1 species
UACGUAGGUGGCAAGCGUUGUCCGGAUUUAUUGGGUUUAAAGGGUGCGUAGGUGGUCUAUUAAGUCAGUGCUGAAAUAUCCCGGCUUAACCGGGAGGGUGGCAUUGAUACUGAUGGACUUGAGUGGAGUUGAGGUAGGCGGAAUUGACGGUGUAGCGGUGAAAUGCUUAGAUAUCGUCAAGAACACCGAUAGCGAAGGCAGCUUACCAAGCUCUAACUGACACUGAUGCACGAAAGUGUGGGAUCAAACAGG